UACGUAGGGGGCAAGCGUUGUCCGGAAUCAUUGGGCGUAAAGAGCGUGUAGGCGGCCUGGUAAGUCCGCUGUGAAAGUCCAGGGCUCAACCCUGGAAUGCCGGUGGAAACUGUCAGGCUCGAGUCCGGAAGAGGCGAGUGGAAUUCCUGGUGUAGCGGUGAAAUGCGCAGAUAUCAGGAGGAACACCAAUGGCGAAGGCAGAGCGCUGGGACGGUACUGACGCUGAGACGCGAAAGCGUGGGGAGCAAACAGG
rnacentral:rRNA from 1 species